rnacentral:misc_RNA from 1 species
GUGCAUCAAUCACAGAAGAUACAAUUGCUAGAUCAACAUGUCUUCCUCUCGCCUCAUUCCAUCCAUUAGAAGGCCUUCCAGAAGAUAAUCGCAAUUCUUCAGCACUUGCAGAAGAAUGCAUCCCCCCAAUCCACGUUGAUAGAGGUUGAUCAUCAUCAGCAACAUUCUUUGAUACAGAGGGAAUGGCCAUUUCAACUUCUUUUGCCAUGCAAUCUGUCUCUGAAACUUCAGCUGUUUUCUCUCUAGAAGCAGCUUGAGAAACUGUAGACUCCACCCUUGUCUGUAUUGGCAUUUCAACUUCUUUAGAUGUGUGAUCUUUUACAACUACUUCAUUAGAAACAUCUUGAAUGCCAUGGUCCUCCUUACC